rnacentral:rRNA from 1 species
CCUACGGGGGGCAGCAGUGAGGAAUAUUGGUCAAUGGACGAGAGUCUGAACCAGCCAAGUAGCGUGAAGGAUGACUGCCCUAUGGGUUGUAAACUUCUUUUAUAUGGGAAUAAAAUGUUCCACGUGUGGGAUUUUGUAUGUACCAUAUGAAUAAGGAUCGGCUAACUCCGUGCCAGCAGCCGCGGUAAUACGGAGGAUCCGAGCGUUAUCCGGAUUUAUUGGGUUUAAAGGGAGCGUAGGUGGAUUUUUAAGUCAGUUGUGAAAGUUUGCGGCUCAACCGUAAAAUUGCAGUUGAAACUGGCAGUCUUGAGUACAGUAGAGGUGGGCGGAAUUCGUGGUGUAGCGGUGAAAUGCUUAGAUAUCACGAAGAACUCCGAUUGCGAAGGCAGUUCACUGGACUGCAACUGACACUGAGGCUCGAAAGUGUGGGUAUCAAACAGGAUUAGAUACCCGUGUAGUC